rnacentral:rRNA from 1 species
AACGAACGCUGGCGGCAUGCCUAACACAUGCAAGUCGAACGAGACCUUCGGGUCUAGUGGCGCACGGGUGCGUAACGCGUGGGAACCUGCCCUUAGGUUCGGAAUAACUCCCCGAAAGGGGUGCUAAUACCGGAUAAUGUCUUCGGACCAAAGAUUUAUCGCAUUUGGAUGGGCCCGCGUUGGAUUAGCUAGUUGGUAGGGUAAAAGCCUACCAAGGCGACGAUCCAUAGCUGGUCUGAGAGGAUGAUCAGCCACACUGGGACUGAGACACGGCCCAGACUCCUACGGGAGGCAGCAGUGGGGAAUAGUGGACAAUGGGCGAAAGCCUGAUCCAGCAAUGCCGCGUGAGUGAUGAAGGCCUUAGGGUUGUAAAGCUCUUUUACCCGGGAUGAUAAUGACAGUACCGAGAGAAUAAGCUCCGGCUAACUCCGUG